UGAAAGGCAAUGAAGGAAAGAGUAGGCGUUCCGUUUCGUUUCAGAGAGUUCCCGUGUGGUGCAAGGGGACACGCAGCGAUCGCCGAACAUGGUUCCGGAGCCGCGCACCGACCGCCGCAAAACCGCGGCAUAGGCUGCGACGGGCGCGCCCGUCAUCGCGCGAGAGUAUCGCUUCUGUUCAUUUGGAAUGCCGUACUCCAUGAGGCAUGUACCGCGAGGUGCAUGUAAAACCAAGGUGGUAACGCGAACAGCUUGAUUGUAUCGCCCUUGAU
rnacentral:ncRNA from 1 species